rnacentral:rRNA from 1 species
UACAGGGGGUGCAAACGUUGCUCGGAAUCAUUGGGCGUAAAGCGCACGUAGGCGGUCUGUUAUGUCGGAUGCGAAAGCCCUCGGCUCAACUGAGGAAGUGCAUCCGAAACUGGCAGGCUAGAGUACUAAAGAGGGUCGCGGAAUUCCCGGUGUAGAGGUGAAAUUCGUAGAUAUCGGGAGGAACACCGGUGGCGAAGGCGGCGACCUGGGUAGAUACUGACGCUGAGGUGCGAAAGCGUGGGGAGCAAACCGG